rnacentral:rRNA from 1 species
UCCAGAGUUUGAUCAUGGCUCAGGAUGAACGCUGGCGGCGUGCCUAAUACAUGCAAGUCGAGCGAACGGACGAGAAGCUUGCUUCUCUGAUGUUAGCGGCGGACGGGUGAGUAACACGUGGAUAACCUACCUAUAAGACUGGGAUAACUUCGGGAAACCGGAGCUAAUACCGGAUAAUAUUUUGAACCGCAUGGUUCAAAAGUGAAAGACGGUCUUGCUGUCACUUAUAGAUGGAUCCGCGCUGCAUUAGCUAGUUGGUAAGGUAACGGCUUACCAAGGCAACGAUGCAUAGCCGACCUGAGAGGGUGAUCGGCCACACUGGAACUGAGACACGGUCCAGACUCCUACGGGAGGCAGCAGUAGGGAAUCUUCCGCAAUGGGCGAAAGCCUGACGGAGCAACGCCGCGUGAGUGAUGAAGGUCUUCGGAUCGUAAAACUCUGUUAUUAGGGAAGAACAUAUGUGUAAGUAACUGUGCACAUCUUGACGGUACCUAAUCAGAAAGCCACGGCUAACUACGUGCCAGCAGCCGCGGUAAUACGUAGGUGGCAAGCGUUAUCCGGAAUUAUUGGGCGUAAAGCGCGCGUAGGCGGUUUUUUAAGUCUGAUGUGAAAGCCCACGGCUCAACCGUGGAGGGUCAUUGGAAACUGGAAAACUUGAGUGCAGAAGAGGAAAGUGGAAUUCCAUGUGUAGCGGUGAAAUGCGCAGAGAUAUGGAGGAACACCAGUGGCGAAGGCGACUUUCUGGUCUGUAACUGACGCUGAUGUGCGAAAGCGUGGGGAUCAAACAGGAUUAGAUACCCUGGUAGUCCACGCCGUAAACGAUGAGUGCUAAGUGUUAGGGGGUUUCCGCCCCUUAGUGCUGCAGCUAACGCAUUAAGCACUCCGCCUGGGGAGUACGACCGCAAGGUUGAAACUCAAAGGAAUUGACGGGGACCCGCACAAGCGGUGGAGCAUGUGGUUUAAUUCGAAGCAACGCGAAGAACCUUACCAAAUCUUGACAUCCUUUGACAACUCUAGAGAUAGAGCCUUCCCCUUCGGGGGACAAAGUGACAGGUGGUGCAUGGUUGUCGUCAGCUCGUGUCGUGAGAUGUUGGGUUAAGUCCCGCAACGAGCGCAACCCUUAAGCUUAGUUGCCAUCAUUAAGUUGGGCACUCUAAGUUGACUGCCGGUGACAAACCGGAGGAAGGUGGGGAUGACGUCAAAUCAUCAUGCCCCUUAUGAUUUGGGCUACACACGUGCUACAAUGGACAAUACAAAGGGCAGCGAAACCGCGAGGUCAAGCAAAUCCCAUAAAGUUGUUCUCAGUUCGGAUUGUAGUCUGCAACUCGACUACAUGAAGCUGGAAUCGCUAGUAAUCGUAGAUCAGCAUGCUACGGUGAAUACGUUCCCGGGUCUUGUACACACCGCCCGUCACACCACGAGAGUUUGUAACACCCGAAGCCGGUGGAGUAACCUUUUAGGAGCUAGCCGUCGAAGGUGGGACAAAUGAUUGGGGUGAAGUCGUAACAAGGUAGCCGUAUCGGAAGGUGCGGCUGGAUCACCU